rnacentral:rRNA from 1 species
AUUGAACGCUGGCGGCAGGCCUAACACAUGCAAGUCGAACGAGUGGCGGACGGGUGUGUAAUGUCUGGGAAACUGCCUGAUGGAGGGGGAUAACUACUGGAAACGGUAGCUAAUACCGCAUACCAUCGGAUGUGCCCAGAUGGGCUUAGCUAGUAGGUGGGGUAAAGGCUCACCUGGGCGACGAUCCCUAGCUGGUCUGAGAGGAUGACGAGCCACACUGGAACUGAGACACGGUCCGGACUCCAACGGGAGGCAGAAGUGGGGAUUAUUGCACAAUGGGCGCAAGCCUGAUGCAGCCAUGCCGCGUGUAUGAGAAAGGUCUUCGGGUUGUAAAGUACUUUCGGCGGGGAGGCGUUACCCGCAGAAGAAGCACCGGCUAACUCCGUGCCAGCAGCCGCGGUAAUAC